UACGUAGGGAGCGAGCGUUGUCCGGAAUUAUUGGGCGUAAAGCGCGCGCAGGCGGUCUCUUAAGUCUGAUGUGAAAGCCCACGGCUCAACCGUGGAGGGUCAUUGGAAACUGGGAGACUUGAGUGUAGGAGAGGAAAGUGGAAUUCCACGUGUAGCGGUGAAAUGCGUAGAGAUGUGGAGGAACACCAGUGGCGAAGGCGACUUUCUGGCCUAUAACUGACGCUGAGGCGCGAAAGCGUGGGGAGCAAACAGG
rnacentral:rRNA from 1 species